rnacentral:rRNA from 1 species
UACAGAGGGUGCAAGCGUUGUUCGGAAUUAUUGGGCGUAAAGCGCGUGUAGGCGGCUUUGCAAGUCGGGUGUGAAAGCCCUCAGCUUAACUGAGGAAGUGCGCCCGAAACUGCAAGGCUUGAGUACCGGAGAGGAUGGUGGAAUUCCCCAAGUAGAGGUGAAAUUCGUAGAUAUGGGGAGGAACACCGGUGGCGAAGGCGACCAUCUGGACGGAUACUGACGCUGAGACGCGAAAGCGCGGGUAGCAAACAGG